rnacentral:rRNA from 1 species
UAGGAUUCCCUUAGUAACGGCGAGUGAACCGGGAAAAGCUCAAAUUUGUAAUCUGGCUGUCUUCGAUAGUCCGAGUUGUAAUCUAUAGACGUGUUUUCCGUGCUGGACCGUAUCUAAGUCCCUUGGAACAGGGUAUCAAAGAGGGUGACAAUCCCGUGCUUGAUACGACCACCAGUGCUCUGUGAUACACGCUCUACGAGUCGAGUUGUUUGGGAAUGCAGCUCAAAAUGGGUGGUAAAUUCCAUCUAAAGCUAAAUAUUGGCGAGAGACCGAUAGCGAACAAGUACCGUGAGGGAAAGAUGAAAAGCACUUUGGAAAGAGAGUUAAACAGUACGUGAAAUUGUUGAAAGGGAAACGAUUGAAAUCAGUCGUGUUCUUUGGAUUCAGCUAGUUCUUCUAGUCUACUUCCAUUGAACGGGUCAACAUCAGUUUUGUCCGGUGGAUAAAGAUAGUAGGAAUGUAGCUCCCCCGGGAGUGUUAUAGACUAUUAUUGCAUACACUGGGUGAGACUGAGGACUGCAGCUCGCCUUUUGGCCGGUCUUCGGACACGUUCGAGCUUAGGAUGUUGACAUAAUGGC